ACCUGGCUGGCUUAGUUGGAAGAGCAUGCGACUCUCAAUCUCAGGGCCGUGAGUUCAAACCCCAUAUUAGGUA
rnacentral:tRNA from 1 species